GAGGUGGAAGGUCAGAGGUCUCAGCUGAGAGCACAGGAGGAAGGUGAUGUAACAGGAGUGUCUGCUGAGCCUGUGAUCCUGGCUGCUCUGGGGGCAGUGGUGGGGCUGGUCUGUGUGGCUGUGCUGGGGACUGUCCUUUACAGGAGACUGCAAUGUAAAUCCACUGAGCUGACUGUGAUGGAGAAAUAAAAGAGGGAUUGGAAACUG